UACGUAGGGGGCUAGCGUUGUCCGGAAUCAUUGGGCGUAAAGAGCGUGUAGGCGGCUUUACAGGUCCGUUGUGAAAACUCGAGGCUCAACCUCGAGACGCCGGUGGAAACCGUAAAGCUAGAGUCCGGAAGAGGAGAGUGGAAUUCCUGGUGUAGCGGUGAAAUGCGCAGAUAUCAGGAGGAACACCCCGUGGCGAAAGCGGCUCUCUGGGACGGUACUGACGCUGAGACGCGAAAAGCGUGGGGUAGCAAAACAGG
rnacentral:rRNA from 1 species